rnacentral:rRNA from 1 species
UACAGAGGGGGCAAGCGUUAUUCGGAAUUAUUGGGCGUAAAGGGCGCGUAGGCGGCCUGGCAAGUGGAAGGUGAAAUCCCUCGGCUUAACCGAGGAACUGCCCUCCAAACUGCUUGGCUUGAGUCCGGGAGAGGUGAGUGGAAUUCCCAGUGUAGCGGUGAAAUUCGUAGAUAUUCGGAGGAACACCAGUGGCGAAGGCGGCUCACUGGUCCAUUACUGACGCUGAGGUGCGAAAGCGUGGGGAGCAAACAGG